rnacentral:rRNA from 1 species
AAGGGGAGCAAUCCCUGAGUAAAGUGGCGACCGGGUGAGUAACACGUGACUAACCUACCUUCGAGUGGGGGAUAACCUAGGGAAACCUGGGCUAAUACCGCAUAACAUCUUUGGAGUGGAAAUUCUGGAGAUCAAAAGAGCAAUUUGCUUGAAGAGGGGGUCGCGGCUGAUUAGCUAGUUGGCGGGGUAAUGGCCCACCAAGGCUUUGAUCGGUAGCCGGCCUGAGAGGGCGCACGGCCACACUGGAACGGAAACACGGUCCAGACUCCUACGGGAGGCAGCAGUGGGGAAUUUUGCGCAAUGGGGGAAACCCUGACGCAGCAACGCCGCGUGGAGGAUGAAGUCCCUUGGG